AAUCAACGCUGGCGGCGUGCCUAACACAUGCAAGUCGAACGCGAAAACCCCGCAAGGGGUUAGUAGAGUGGCAAACGGGUGAGUAACACGUGGGUGACCUGCCUUAGAGUGGGGGAUAACGUUCCGAAAGGAACGCUAAUACCGCAUAACAUCCUGCCUUUGAAGAGGUGGCGAUCAAAGCUGGGGACCGCAAGGCCUAGCGCUCAAAGAGGGGCCCGCGCCUGAUUAGCUAGUUGGUGGGGAAUGGCUCACCAAGGCAACGAUCAGUAUCCGGCCUGAGAGGGGCGGACGGACACACUGGGACUGAGACACGGCCCAGACUCCUACGGGAGGCAGCAGUGGGGAAUUGUUCGCAAUGGGCGCAAGCCUGACGACGCAACGCCGCGUGGAGGAUGAAGACCU
rnacentral:rRNA from 1 species